rnacentral:rRNA from 3 species
UUUGGUUAAGUUAGAAAGGGCGCACGGUGGAUGCCUUGACACUAGGAGUCGAUGAAGGACGGGACUAACGCCGAUAUGCUUCGGGGAGCUGUAAGUAAGCUUUGAUCCGAAGAUUUCCGAAUGGGGAAACCCACCAUACGUAAUGGUAUGGUAUCCUUAUCUGAAUACAUAGGGUAAGGAAGACAGACCCAGGGAACUGAAACAUCUAAGUACCUGGAGGAAGAGAAAGCAAAUGCGAUUUCCUGAGUAGCGGCGAGCGAAACGGAACAUAGCCCAAACCAAGAGGCUUGCCUCUUGGGGUUGUAGGACAUUCUAUACGGAGUUACAAAGGAACGAGGUAGACGAAGCGACCUGGAAAGGGUCCGUCGUAGAGGGUAACAACCCCGUAGUCGAAACUUCGUUCUCUCUUGAAUGUAUCCUGAGUACGGCGGAACACGUGAAAUUCCGUCGGAAUCUGGGAGGACCAUCUCCCAAGGCUAAAUACUCCCUAGUGAUCGAUAGUGAACCAGUACCGUGAGGGAAAGGUGAAAAGCACCCCGGAAGGGGAGUGAAAGAGAUCCUGAAACCGUGUGCCUACAAAUAGUCAGAGCCCGUUAACGGGUGAUGGCGUGCCUUUUGUAGAAUGAACCGGCGAGUUACGAUCCCGUGCGAGGUUAAGCUGAAGAGGCGGAGCCGCAGCGAAAGCGAGUCUGAAUAGGGCGUUUAGUACGUGGUCGUAGACCCGAAACCAGGUGAUCUACCCAUGUCCAGGGUGAAGUUCAGGUAACACUGAAUGGAGGCCCGAACCCACGCACGUUGAAAAGUGCGGGGAUGAGGUGUGGGUAGCGGAGAAAUUCCAAUCGAACCUGGAGAUAGCUGGUUCUCCCCGAAAUAGCUUUAGGGCUAGCCUUAAGUGUAAGAGUCUUGGAGGUAGAGCACUGAUUGGACUAGGGGUCCUCAUCGGAUUACCGAAUUCAGUCAAACUCCGAAUGCCAAUGACUUAUCCUUAGGAGUCAGACUGCGAGUGAUAAGAUCCGUAGUCAAAAGGGAAACAGCCCAGACCGCCAGCUAAGGUCCCAAAGUGUGUAUUAAGUGGAAAAGGAUGUGGAGUUGCUUAGACAACUAGGAUGUUGGCUUAGAAGCAGCCACCAUUUAAAGAGUGCGUAAUAGCUCACUAGUCGAGUGACUCUGCGCCGAAAAUGUACCGGGGCUAAAUACACCACCGAAGCUGCGGAUUGAUACCAAUGGUAUCAGUGGUAGGGGAGCGUUCUAAGGACAGUGAAGUCAGACCGUAAGGACUGGUGGAGUGCUUAGAAGUGAGAAUGCCGGUAUGAGUAGCGAAAGACGGGUGAGAAUCCCGUCCACCGAAUGCCUAAGGUUUCCUGAGGAAGGCUCGUCCGCUCAGGGUUAGUCAGGACCUAAGCCGAGGCCGACAGGCGUAGGCGAUGGACAACAGGUUGAUAUUCCUGUACCACCUCUUUAUCGUUUGAGCAAUGGAGGGACGCAGAAGGAUAGAAGAAGCGUGCGAUUGGUUGUGCACGUCCAAGCAGUUAGGCUGAUAAGUAGGCAAAUCCGCUUAUCGUGAAGGCUGAGCUGUGAUGGGGAAGCUCCUUAUGGAGCGAAGUCUUUGAUUCCCCGCUGCCAAGAAAAGCUUCUAGCGAGAUAAAAGGUGCCUGUACCGCAAACCGACACAGGUAGGCGAGGAGAGAAUCCUAAGGUGUGCGAGAGAACUCUGGUUAAGGAACUCGGCAAAAUGACCCCGUAACUUCGGGAGAAGGGGUGCUUUCUUAACGGAAAGCCGCAGUGAAUAGGCCCAAGCGACUGUUUAGCAAAAACACAGCUCUCUGCGAAGCCGUAAGGCGAAGUAUAGGGGGUGACACCUGCCCGGUGCUGGAAGGUUAAGGAGAGGGGUUAGCGUAAGCGAAGCUCUGAACUGAAGCCCCAGUAAACGGCGGCCGUAACUAUAACGGUCCUAAGGUAGCGAAAUUCCUUGUCGGGUAAGUUCCGACCCGCACGAAAGGUGUAACGAUUUGGGCACUGUCUCAACCAGAGACUCGGUGAAAUUAUAGUACCUGUGAAGAUGCAGGUUACCCGCGACAGGACGGAAAGACCCCGUGGAGCUUUACUGUAGCCUGAUAUUGAAUUUUGGUACAGUUUGUACAGGAUAGGCGGGAGCCAUUGAAACCGGAGCGCUAGCUUCGGUGGAGGCGCUGGUGGGAUACCGCCCUGACUGUAUUGAAAUUCUAACCUACGGGUCUUAUCGACCCGGGAGACAGUGUCAGGUGGGCAGUUUGACUGGGGCGGUCGCCUCCUAAAGUGUAACGGAGGCGCCCAAAGGUUCCCUCAGAAUGGUUGGAAAUCAUUCGUAGAGUGCAAAGGCAUAAGGGAGCUUGACUGCGAGACCUACAAGUCGAGCAGGGACGAAAGUCGGGCUUAGUGAUCCGGUGGUUCCGCAUGGAAGGGCCAUCGCUCAACGGAUAAAAGCUACCCCGGGGAUAACAGGCUUAUCUCCCCCAAGAGUCCACAUCGACGGGGAGGUUUGGCACCUCGAUGUCGGCUCAUCGCAUCCUGGGGCUGUAGUCGGUCCCAAGGGUUGGGCUGUUCGCCCAUUAAAGCGGUACGCGAGCUGGGUUCAGAACGUCGUGAGACAGUUCGGUCCCUAUCCGUCGUGGGCGUAGGAAAUUUGAGAGGAGCUGUCCUUAGUACGAGAGGACCGGGAUGGACGCACCGCUGGUGUACCAGUUGUUCUGCCAAGGGCAUAGCUGGGUAGCUAUGUGCGGAAGGGAUAAGUGCUGAAAGCAUCUAAGCAUGAAGCCCCCCUCAAGAUGAGAUUUCCCAUAGCGUAAGCUAGUAAGAUCCCUGAAAGAUGAUCAGGUUGAUAGGUUCGAGGUGGAAGCAUGGUGACAUGUGGAGCUGACGAAUACUAAUAGAUCGAGGACUUAACCAUAUAA